rnacentral:rRNA from 1 species
CUAGUAACGGCGAGUGAAGAGGGAAGAGCCCAAGAUUGAAAGCUGGCGUCUUCGGCGUCCGCAUUGUAAUCUCAAGAAGUGUUUUCCGCUUCGGACCAUGCCUAAGUCCCUUGGAAAAGGGCAUCAUAGAGGGUGAUAAUCCCGUACAUGGCAUGGAGCGCCCGAAGCUUUGUGAUACGCUUUCUAAGAGUCGAGUUGUUUGGGAAUGCAGCUCAAAAUGGGUGGUAAAUGCCAUCUAAGGCUAAAUAUUGGGGAGAGACCGAUAGCGAACAAGUACAGUGAUGGAAAGAUGAAAAGAACUUUGAAAAGAGAGUUAAACAGUACGUGAAAUUGCCAAAAGGGAAGGGUAGGAGGUCAGAGAUGCGGCCUAGGAUUCAGCCUUGCUUUUGCUUGGUGUUUUUCCUAGGUUGCAGGCCAACGUCGGUUUUGGGCACUGGAGAAGGGUGGAAGGAAUGUGGCACCUCUCGGGGUGUGUUAU